CUGGUUGUGGAACGACACGGCGAGACGAGGACGGGACGGAUUUGUCGCAUCUUGUUUGUGGAUUACCCGGUGAAUAAUCAAAACUGUUGAUGUGAGUCUUAGGAUAUCAGGGAGAUAGAAUCGAAACCCGCCAUCGAUUAGAAUGAAGGUUUGCCUUCACGUGACUGAGAUAUCUCCUACGCCGUGAUACACUUGGAUUAACCCUCCGCAUCCGAUCCGCAGGCAGCAAAACAAUCACAGCCGCCAUUUGUAUGGGACACCAGAUACGACAUUUGCUGCUGCUGCUGGAGGAACGCUUCAAAAUGCUCAAAAUGAAUGCUGCUGAUUCCUCUGUCUUCCAAUCUUAAUUCUACGGAGUGUUAACCCUACCGUAUUGAAAAAGUUUUGUGUGAAAAACUUUGGAUUAUGUUCAAUGCCAUUUUGACGUAACAUUGGAUAUUCGGUGGAUACCAAUUUCUGUGACAGUUCGAGGUCGAAAUUCAUAGUUUUCGUGUUUGAGAUUACAAUCGUGAAGCAAUCGUCACGCGCGAUAACGAGAUCUCACCAGAAAAACGAAUUGCGUCAUUUGUGACGUAACUUGCUACAGCGUCGUCUUCGGAGGUGUCAUCUUCGAUCACGUGACUAAACGCCAUAAUGUCUUUCUGGAAGAAAUCAUUCUGGAAGAGGUCGAAAGGAAAGGAAAGUGACGCUGAGAAUGUGAAUCCGCAAGUCGAUGAUGCAGACGCGAAACGGAAGUUACGUCAUCAACUGUCCGUCUCGCGGUCUGGUCGCUUUAAACAAAAGGACAAGCAGAGGACGGGCUUUCUGGAUCAGCCGGAACUCUUUCAUGGACCCGAAAAUGAAAUGCAAGCAAAGGCCGCCGCGGCUGACCAAAGUAAGCCAGGUAACUCACAGACUCAAACCGGAAACGGAAGUAUAGGCAGAUCUCAAAAUCCUUCAAAUUGCCGGGAGGUAGAGCAGAGACUCGGCCAGAACACGGCUUUAACAAACCAACACACAGCGCAGGUAUGAUGGACCUACUGGCAAUGUUUGGUCCUUGAGUCGAAGAGUCCAUCAUUUUAUCUGCCGUCCUUAUUCUUGAAGGGAAUAGCAAGGCGUGUGGGAUUGGUGUUUCAACCAUAAUGCUUUCAACAGGGCCACAAGUUCUCCUCACAGAUUCUUGGUAGCAAACCGCAACGCAAUAAACUGGACAUAAGACCUACCUACAAACGCGAACUGUUUUCCAAGCAAAAACCUCUGCAAACUCUGGCAAUGAUUGUGAUUCUGCGUCUCACCGCGAAACUCUAAAGGCCUGUCAUAACAUCAGCGUUUCACGCUACGUAUCGUGGGGUAACCCGGCGUACGUUGAGUUAGUCAUCUAAUCUUUCGCACAGUGUGGUUUUCUGAGAUACUAUUCAAUCGUAAUUUUGGUAUUUAGGGGUUAAUGAGUACCUCUUCGGUCUCGUUCGUUAAGUCGCGCUUUCUGGCUAAUGUACGCACUUCAAAGGCCUGUAGUUAGCACUGCAUGUUCCGGCCCAUAUAUGCUUAGACUUAGCUUGUUCCCUUGGGGGUGAAAUUAUAUACAUGUACUAAAACGUAUUUGUUAUUUUGGGAUUAAGUGUUGUGAUCGCCACGAACUGAUCUGAGGUCUAGAGUGGGAGGGCAUGGUCUUCGUAGGCCUUCAGAGAUUGUCCGGCCUAUGGGCCUAAACUGAAGGCAGACCAUUACCGUUAAUACGUCCUUAGCAACGAAGCCCGGCGAACUGGUCGUCAUACACCACCAGAUUCCUUCCUUUUCGUGUUGUGUACCGAAACUAACCGAACAGGCCUCUCGAAUUUGAUGUCUAUUGGGUGAUUUCAAAGCUUGGGUCAACACCAGUGAUUAUGAGGCAUUUUUCACACAGGUUUAAAGUCACUCAUAGUCGGAGUGGAGGUGGGGGGAGAGAGGGCGCUAAAAUACGUGGAACAGUGAUAUCAAAGGUUGUAACUUUCUUUGCGAUUGCUCAGCCUAACUUAUUCCGUCCCCAGAAGCUCUUCGGCCAUGCAUGGUAAAAGUUCGAAACGUCCAAUGAUAGAAUCAUGUUCGGGAACAAAGGAUUCUAUUAUACCUUAAAUCUCUAAGCUAUUCAUGACAGUCAUGGCCUUUUACGCACCAUAUACAUAUACCAUAAUCCGUCAGAAAACAAUAGCGCAGGACACAUUCUUCCUAUACAUGUAGGUUCUUCUUUGGUUUCUAUUGAAGUAUACGGACGCGCAGGCGAACAGUGGCUUUACAAAUGGUUCAUUACCAUGAAACCAUUGCUCGCCAGCGUCUCCAGAUACGGUGUUGCUCCAUCCAGCUCUUCAUGUGGUGUUUAGAUUGAGCCUAACUGUGAUGUAGAUGAUAAUAUGAUGUCGCUCUGGGCGAAAUGCUGUGAUCUGAUUGGUUGUAUUUUGAAUUUGAAUACAGAUUUGAAAGGGACGGCAACGCCACCUGGUUACUCUACGAUACAAUGAGAGCCCCGAGCUUCUCGUAAUCUGGUUGGUCAGUGCCUCCUAGUGGGUGUUUUCGUCAUCUUUUGAAUGGAAUAUCUUAUCAUGUAUAUAUAUAAUUUACUUUCUAGUGUAUAUAAGAUGUACAGUUCUGUCUGGUCCGAAGGGCGUUUUACAUUCCAUAUUUUGCUCUAAAAGCAUAAAUCAUAUAUUGUCACUUGCGCCCAAGGUUUAGACUGGUUACUAAUCUCACCGCCAGGGUGGUCACUGGUAACCUAGCGGUGGGAUAAGGAACUAUGCUCUAGCUAUGAGAUUAGGAAGGUAUCGGCGAGUGUAACUCGGUCAUUCCUCAGUGACACGAAGACGAGCUGUGUUUGGGGUCAGAGUGCACCCACCUGUGUAUAUAUCAACUUACAUUAAAUACAGUAAAUUAUUGUCA